rnacentral:rRNA from 1 species
CCUACGGGAGGCAGCAGUGAGGAAUAUUGGUCAAUGGACGAGAGUCUGAACCAGCCAAGUAGCGUGAAGGAUGACUGCCCUAUGGGUUGUAAACUUCUUUUAUAUGGGAAUAAAAUGUUCCACGUGUGGGAUUUUGUAUGUACCAUAUGAAUAAGGAUCGGCUAACUCCGUGCCAGCAGCCGCGGUAAUACGGAGGAUCCGAGCGUUAUCCGGAUUUAUUGGGUUUAAAGGGAGCGUAGGUGGAUUGUUAAGUCAGUUGUGAAAGUUUGGGGCUCAACCGGAAAAUUGCAGUUGAAACUGGCAGUCUUGAGUACAGUAGAGGUGGGCGGAAUGCGUGGUGUAGCGGUGAAAUGCUUAGAUAUCACGAAGAACUCCGAUUGCGAAGGCAGUUCACUGGACUGCAACUGACACUGAGGCUCGAAAGUGUGGGUAUCAAACAGGAUUAGAUACCCCAGUAGUC